CCGCCGCUGCCGCCACGGAGCCCGGCCGAGGGGAGGGAGGGAUCAGCCCCCAGGCAGGAUCCGCCCCUCCGGCCUCCCCCCCUCCCCCCGCCACCUCCACCCCUUCCCUCGCUCCCUCUCUGGCUCCGCGGGCUCUCCCGCUGAACAGGAGCGAGAGCGCGAAAGAGAGGGGAAACAAGAAAAAAAUCCCCCCGCCCGUGCCCGGCGCGGCGGCGGCCGGGGCGGCGCGGAGAGGAGCGCGGAGCCGCUGCCGCCACAGGGCACCGUCCCCUGCUCGGCCUCACGGUGGCGGUGCGGACACGGCAGGGGCGCGGAGCAAAGGCGGGAUCUGCGCUCGUCGCGGCCCCGGCUCACGCCGACCUGCCUCGCCACGGGGAGAGUCCGACUAGAGAGCUGGGGGGCGUUAUGGUCCAGCUGGGAAAGACGGGGUCCAUAACUCCUUAGAGUGGUUAUUUACCCACUCCCCCAGCCCUGCGGGGGAGGUGGCUAAGGUUUGGAGCAACAACCCCCCUCCCUGAGCUAGAAGGUCCCUCCAAAGGCUAAGUCAAGAGCAGUCAUUGAAGACAAAACCGUUCUGUAGUUUCUUGGGGUGCAGGUGCCUGCAGUACUCCCAGAAAGUCGCCCCCUUCCCCCCGUGCUCCAGUCCGGAGGACAAAGGUCUAUCGAUGUCCAUACUCUUCCCCAGUGAGGACAGCCGGGGAAGACCUGCCUCUGUUGUGUAAAGGAUUGAUGAGUGGACUCUCCGUCUGGCUGUGGGCAGUACCUCCAGGUCCUUUCAGGGAUAUGGGCUCAAUCUACACAAAAGGAAGAAAACCUACAGAUCAAGUCAAAAGGUCUUUUCAGAUGGAAAGCUCACAUUCUCAACUCCACACUCUGCUGCCUCCCAGGCCCUGCAUGAGAAGCUGCAGAUACCAGGGUCAUAAAAUAAGCUGUAGUAUAAGUGACUGGGGCCAGGUCUCUUGAGGACCUAUGAGGGAAGAUUUAACAUGAAGGAGACCAGGUGAGUGGAGAAAACUGCUGUUGAGAAGGAGGAAAUGACAAUGUCCGGAAGAUGGGGUAAUUGGGGAGGGAAGAGGAUGUGGUAGAGAAAAUAAUUAAAAAUAAUAGUUAAUGCUUGGUGAGCCCUUCCCAUGUGCCAGGUACUCUUCUGAGUGCUUCCCUUAUGUUAAUUUCUUUAGUAUUAUUAUCCUUAUAGAUGAGGAAACUGAGGCCCAAGGUCACAUGGCUGGUAAGUGGUAGAGCAGGAGGCAGUAUGCCUCCAGAGCUCAACACUUAACCACCUUAGUAAACCACAUAGGGAAAGAAGAGGGUAAGACAGAGGUGCCACUCUUCUGACAGAAGAUAAAAAGGAGAGGCUGGAUUAAGCUAGAGUUUCUAAAGCCAAAGCUGUAUCCUGCUUGGCUGGAGGAAAUCCACCCACUGUCUUUAUUGGGGUUCCUCCUUGGAAUUAUACAAAAGUUCUGGGAUCUUAUGGACCCCACAAUACGAGGAGAGUUCCUCUGAUCAUCAGUCUGUACUUAAAAAUACUGAGCUGCUGCAUCAAUUAAGAAUGGUGGGCUAUCCAUAGGAGAAACCCUGAGUAAUUUCAGCCAAGACCAGGAGAAUUUGCUUACGGUCCAGCGUCCCUGAGCGUACCCAGCACCUUCCUCGUGAGUUUUGCCAGGGUGUUAACAGGGAACUGGACAUAGUCCAAAAGAAUGUGAGUAUUAAUGGGCCUCUACCUCCUUCCGGUCAGGAGAAACUGCCUAGCUAAGCCACACUGCUUCUCAAAUGCACUUCCCUUCCUCACUCCCUCACCUUUUCCCCUCCCAGAGUCCUACCAAAAUAUUCUCAAGGGUGAGACCUUUAAGAAAACAGAGAGAAACAAGUGUGCUUCUGGGAGUUUCUUCCCUUGGCCAGUUAACACAAACCUGUCUCAAAGCCCUGCUACUUUUAUGUCCGUGAUGGUUGGGGGGAACAGGGACAGUAAUGCAGGGAGAGAAGAGCACGCAUUGACCUCAAUGUGUGCUUGUGCCACGUUGCAGUGGAAAGAACGGUGCAGUGGUAAAUAGGAGACCUGGGCCCCAGUCUCUACUCUGGGCCCAAAUGUCUUCAUCAGUAAAAUUGUGUAGAAGGAACGCUGUGGGGUGGGGAUGGGAGGAUUCCACCUAGUUGAAAACUAGAUAUAGAGGCCUCAGCAAAUUCCCUAGCGAAAUGCCCCAGUCAGACCCAUUCCUACCUGGACAGUAAGGUUGGGAAACACAGGGGAAUGGUGGUUAGUAUGUGUUCUAGGCAUCCAGGUGCAGAUCUGGGCAUUUCCAGCAUGGCUCCACGAUCAUGCAAGGUGGGGGGUGGGGGCACAGACGGCGGUACAAUACGGGGGUUGGCUAAGACGUAGCAGAGGAUUCCAAAAGUCACAUUUUAGCAUCUGGGACAAGCGUUUUUAACCGGGGUCCACAAACCAUAGACUGUACACUGGAAUUCAGAGGUCCAUGAAUUUGGAUUGGAAAAUAUUACAGCUUUUAAAGGCAGCAAACUACAGUUGCAUUAGCUGGGCCAGUAGAAAGCAGUACUUUUCAUUUCCCUUUACAGUUGCUGCAGAUAUCUUGAAACAUCGUUUAAACUCAUUUCUACUUCAGGUUUGCAGUA